rnacentral:rRNA from 1 species
UACGUAGGGUGCGAGCGUUUGUCCGGAAUUAUUGGGCGUAAAGAGCUCGUAGGCGGUCUGUCGCGUCGAUCGUGAAAACUUGGGGCUUAACCCUGAGCUUGCGGUCGAUACGGGCAUGACUGGAGUUCGGCAGGGGAGACUGGAAUUCCUGGUGUAGCGGUGAAAUGCGCAGAUAUCAGGAAGAACACCAAUAGCGAAAGCAGCUUUCUGGGACGGUACUGACGCUGAGACGCGAAAGCGUGGGGAGCGAACAGG